UUAUAGUGUUAUUAAAACACAGACAAGCAUGCUAUUAGAAAAUGUAACAGGUUACUAGCAAUCAAAACAACUAGCUAAGUUAGCCGAUUUUGUCAAUGAAUGUUUUAUAUUACAACACAAACCUAUUGCCUACAUCUCAGUCAAACCUAGAAUCUCCUAGGUAUUUAGUUCGCUAACCAGAUAUAUUAAUAUUCAAAUUCCACAAAAACGUUACAUCUCAGUCAAACCUAGAAUCUCCUAGGCACCCCAAACCCAAAAAGUAUAAAAUAUAUUUGUAAAGUAUAAAGUUCAUUAAACUAUUGUUGCUUGUUAUAACCGUGGUUUCGUACAAUGAGCAGUCGGCCAAGUUGACUUUUAUUUUGAAGCAUGUGAAAAAAAACUGUGGUGACGUCGUUUCCGGGACUCAGGGACGAGCUAGGUGUCGUAGAAGAGGUCGACUGACAAAUGAUAUCUGCGGCCUGACGCUGUUGGCUGAAAACCGAGAAUAUAUUUAGAAUAUAUUCUUUCCUCCUCAAAUUUUUUCAAGCACUAGUGGGAUAAAACUGUGGAUUAUAGGAGACUGGAUUGACUCUUAAGUUUGGACGCGUUUUGAAGACUGGAGGAACAGACUGCUGAAUCUCCGCUGCUGAUCCAGGAACACACCGCUGAAGCUACGCUGCCGACUGCUUGUUCUCCGUUGCUGAUCAAGGAUCAAGAAGCUCUGAUGGCUCCCUGUCCAGUUUGCCAGAAGGUGCUGUCCUCCAUCUCUGCGCACCUUUCCACAGUACAUCAUGUGGAAAACGUAGAGGAGAAGAAGAUCCUGAUUCAGCUGGCGAAUCAGAAAGUGUCGAUCCUGACAUCU